CCACCCUUUAAUGUUUGAUGUUCUAACGUGGACCCGUGAUCCGGGUUGCGGACAGUGUCUGGUGGGUAGUUUGACUGGGGCGGUCUCCUCCUAAAGAGUAACGGAGGAGCACGAAGGUUGGCUAAUCCUGGUCGGACAUCAGGAGGUUAGUGCAAUGGCAUAAGCCAGCUUGACUGCGAGCGUGACGGCGCGAGCAGGUGCGAAAGCAGGUCAUAGUGAUCCGGUGGUUCUGAAUGGAAGGGCCAUCGCUCAACGGAUAAAAGGUACUCCGGGGAUAACAGGCUGAUACCGCCCAAGAGUUCAUAUCGACGGCGGUGUUUGGCACCUCGAUGUCGGCUCAUCACAUCCUGGGGCUGAAGUAGGUCCCAAGGGUAUGGCUGUUCGCCAUUUAAAGUGGUACGCGAGCUGGGUUUAGAACGUCGUGAGACAGUUCGGUCCCUAUCUGCCGUGGGCGCUGGAGAACUGAGGGGGGCUGCUCCUAGUACGAGAGGACCGGAGUGGACGCAUCACUGGUGUUCGGGUUGUCAUGCCAAUGGCACUGCCCGGUAGCUAAAUGCGGAAGAGAUAAGUGCUGAAAGCAUCUAAGCACGAAACUUGCCCCGAGAUGAGUUCUCCCUGAGACUUUAGGUCUCCUGAAGGAACGUUGAAGACGACGACGUUGAUAGGCCGGGUGUGUAAGCGCAGCGAUGCGUUGAGCUAACCGGUACUAAUGAACCGUGAGGCUUAACCUUACA
rnacentral:rRNA from 2 species